rnacentral:rRNA from 1 species
GACGAACGCUGGCGGCGUGCCUAAUACAUGCAAGUUGAGCGCUGAAGGUUGGUACUUGUACCAACUGGAUGAGCAGCGAACGGGUGAGUAACGCGUGGGGAAUCUGCCUUUGAGCGGGGGACAACAUUUGGAAACGAAUGCUAAUACCGCAUAAAAACUUUAAACACAAGUUUUAAGUUUGAAAGAUGCAAUUGCAUCACUCAAAGAUGAUCCCGCGUUGUAUUAGCUAGUUGGUGAGGUAAAGGCUCACCAAGGCGAUGAUACAUAGCCGACCUGAGAGGGUGAUCGGCCACAUUGGGACUGAGACACGCCCCAAACGCCUACGGGAGGCAGCAGUAGGGAAUCUUCGGCAAUGGACGAAAGUCUGACCGAGCAACGCCGCGUGAGUGAAGAAGGAUGUCGGAUGGUAAAACUCUGUUGGUAGAGAAGAAAGUUGGUGAGAGUGGAAAGCUCAUCAAGUGACGGUAACUACCCAGAAAGGGACGGCUAACUACGUG